UACGAAGGGGGCUAGCGUUGCUCGGAAUUACUGGGCGUAAAGCGCACGUAGGCGGCUUUCUAAGUCGGGGGUGAAAUCCUGGAGCUCAACUCCAGAACUGCCUUCGAUACUGGAGAGCUCGAGUCCGGGAGAGGUGAGUGGAACUGCGAGUGUAGAGGUGAAAUUCGUAGAUAUUCGCAAGAACACCAGUGGCGAAGGCGGCUCACUGGCCCGGUACUGACGCUGCGGUGCGAAAGCGUGGGGAGCAAACAGG
rnacentral:rRNA from 1 species